UAACACGUAGGAUCCAAGCGUUAUCCGGAUUUACUGGGCGUAAAGCGCGUGCAGGUGGUUUGCUAAGUUGGGUGUUAAAUCUCUUGGCUCAACUGAGAGGUGUCGCUCAAAACUAGCAGACUGGAGGACGGUAGAGGAAGGCAGAAUUCCGGGUGUAGUGGUGAAAUGCGUAGAUAUCCGGAGGAAUACCAGUGGCGAAGGCGGCCUUCUGGACCGUUCCUGACACUCAGACGCGAAAGCUAGGGGAGCAAACGGGAUUAGAAACCCCGGUAGUCCUAGCUGUAAACGAUGUGAACUUGGUGUUGGCGGGGUAAAACCUGUCGGUGCCGAAGCAAACGCGAUAAGUUCACCGCCUGGGGACUACGGCCGCAAGGUUA
rnacentral:rRNA from 1 species